UAGGUAUGACAAAUUAGCCCUAAAACCCUGCCCGACACUUUUCGCCUAAUUUAUUUUCAAAUUGGGCAUUACAUUUGUCAAAUGUCUUACCUUGUGAUUUAUGGACUGUCCAGCCGCUCACGAGAUGCAGCGAAGCUGAUUUGAGUCUGGUGCUGUCUCUAUAUCAGGUGUUUCCGUGGUUACCAUAGUAACGGAGCUUGUUUGUUAAUGCAAUGUAGCGACUGAGCUUGCAAAUAAACAAAAUUAACAACAUUUUAUAUCUAUGACAUAUUUCACGUGACCAUUUAUAGGUCUCCAUACAUUCUCCAUAUAUUGGGUAAACUUUCAGAAGUAAUAUAAAUGCCGCGACCAAAGUAUUUCACUUUGAACAAGGUGUCCUUUCAUAACACGAUGCCUUGGCGACCGGUGGGCGUCAUACGUGUGCAAGGUGUACGACCUGACACUAUUGGUGAAUUACUUUAAAGUUGAUGGACUUCUGAGACCUAUUAUUGGCUGUGCAGGAAAUGACAUCAGUCACUGGUUUGAAUUAAAGACAACAUUUGGGGUGCUCUGUGCACGUGUCGUCUCCCUGCCUUAGUACUAACUGGACCAAUGACUUUGGGCAACCCUGGUGGAGGGAUACCCAAUAUGAGGUGGGGCUAUUUUGCCAAGACCAGGUGAAUCCGCAUCAUCAACAACCUCACAUCCCAGGAGCAUAGGCUGGAAGUAAAAUAUCCUUCUUCAGAUUAGGGAGAAUGUCAUGCAUAGAUCACAAGAAGCUACAUGUGUACAUGCCACAUGUAUAGGCUACAUGUGUUAUCAUACUAAUCUCACUUAGCCUGACACCAUCCCCUGGCAAGCGAGGCCUAGGGUCUUACAUAGAUAUCAUCAGUAUUAUACAUGCGUCAUAUAUGUGCAAUAGAUAUGCAGACAACAUACAGACAUCAUUCUGCACACAUACAUAUCACCUACAUGCAUACGUGUGUCAUUUAUACAUAACCAUCAUACAUUCUAUUGUAGUUGUUCAAGCUUUAUCCUCCUACCCCCUCUUUCACCUCUACCCCUCAGCAAUAUCACGGUAGCAGUAUUUUGGGAGUGUGUCCAUUCAUCUGGCACGGUUUCACCCACACAGCAUAAUAUCACUGAGUGGAGCACAGGUGCUGUUUCUCCCUUCCUCUGUGUGCCACUGGCUGCAUAAUAUAUGGGUUACCACACUGCCCUUUAGGUAGCCCUGGCCUGUACAUGACUCGCUUCCAAACAGACA